rnacentral:rRNA from 1 species
GUGUCAGCCGCCGCGGUAAUACGUAGGGUGCGAGCGUUAAUCGGAAUUACUGGGCGUAAAGGGUGCGCAGGCGGCUCCGCAAGUCAGACGUGAAAUCCCCGGGCUUAACUUGGGAAUGGCGUUUGAAACUACGGAGCUGGAGUGUGGCAGAGGGGGGUGGAAUUCCACGUGUAGCGGUGAAAUGCGUAGAUAUGUGGAGGAACACCGAUGGCGAAGGCAGCCUCCUGGGCCAACACUGACGCUCAUGCACGAAAGCGUGGGGAGCAAACAGGAUUAGAUACCCUGGUAGUCCACGCCCUAAACUAUGUCUACUAGUUGUUGGGGGAGUUAAAUCCCUUAGUAACGCAGCUAACGCGAGAAGUAGACCGCCUGGGGAGUACGGUCGCAAGAUUAAA